GCGUGCUGGGCGCGGGCGGCGCCGAACGUUGGCCGCUUCCCGCCUCGGGAUAACGGCUCAUUCCUCUCAGCGCCCGCGGAGCGGUGCUCGUACGGCGCUCCGAUAGCCGGGAUAUCAGUGCGUCCCUCGUGAACCCUGGGGCAAAUUAGCCAAGGCACAAUUGCAUCAGUGGAGAACAAAUUCCACAGUGAAGUCUCGUUCUCUGUGUCCAUAGGAGCACCUGGUCUCUCACAUUGCCCUCCUCAGCUGGUAGAAAGUUGCUAAGGACAGCAUCCCCAGCUGUCACUGCACUGGAGCAGUACAAUGAUUCCUGGAGUAAAGGGAAACACAUGGAAGAGAUCCUGUUUGGAGCCAGGGUGCUCAGCGUGGCAUAUCUGCAUGGAAGCUGCAGGAGGACAUCAGUCUUUGCAUUAACAUUAACUACCGUGGCUAAGAGAAUAUAUUAGCAACAGCUUCACUAAAGGUCAGGACACAGAGAAGGAAUAUCAAGAAGCAUUGUACAGAGGACAUAAUUUUAAAGUAAAGUGCUGAGUUUCAGCCCCAUUCGAUCCGAGUUGAAAGGACUAGACGGAAAUAAAUAAAGGCAGGCGUGCUUGAGGGACCAAUUAGAGGGCCAUCGAUAGCAGUGUCAGGAAACCCCAGUGGGAAAAAUGGUGGCUUCUGCUACAGUGGUGUAAAUCAGGACAACCACGCCACAAUGAGUCACAUUAUUCAGCAUGUAAAUGACUCUGAGAGGAGAACACAGGAAAACUAAAGGAAACAGCAAAGAUAAAAUAUGACUGGCAGCUGAAGACCAAUGUCUCCAAAGGAGAAACAGGAAACUGUAAAGACUAACAGCAAUUAAUAACUGGAAUGUGCAGACAGAGGAGCAGAGGGGAUCAGGUUUUGUUCUCUCCCAGCUACAGUGCUGGUGGCCACAGGCAGCAGUCCCAGCCAUCCCAACCAUUCCGACAGGAAGCCAUCAGCACCACCACUAUCUGGCUGCUUCACUGCUUCCUUCAUGUGAUUUGUUGGAAAUCUAUGUUUCAGUCAAGCAGAAUAUUUAAACAGGACUCCAGUACUUUUCAUAUCAAAAAUACAGAAAGGAGUUGCUUGCUCCAGGAAUGUUAAAAAACAAGUUAUCAUCUGGCUUGUAUCAGAAACAGUGCAGCCAGCAGGAGCAGGGAGGUGAUUGCCCCUCUGUACUCAGCUCUGGUGAGGCCACACCUCAAGUGCUGUGUUCAAUUUGGGCCCCUCACUACAAGAAGGACAUGGAGGCCCUGGAACGUGUCCAGAGAAGGGCAACAAAGGUGUGAGUUCCAACACUUUGCUUCAUAUGUUCUUCCAUGUCAGACACCAUUCUGUCAUACUGCUCCUCUGCUGCCAUCUGUCACAUGGCAACAACAUGUAAUGGAAUACUGGUGGGAAGGUUUCAGCCCCUAUUGCCAUACCACCAAUACUGGCCUCUGAUGUUGCAGAACAACAUAAUAAAAUAGCAGGCUUUACUUUCGGAGCAGCUCUUGUAAAAUAUAUACAGUACAGAGCAACAGAACCAUAAAACUAGCAGGAUGUUUGACCUCAUUUUUGUGAAACUGAUGUGCCAGUCUGAUUUGAUGGCAAUGGCUGCAAUUCGUAGUGAGUUCUCAAGGUGCUCGUCACUUUGUACCAAGUUUUACUUUUCCUGCGCUUCAUUCAUGACAAGUUGCUCAAUAAUGUGCAUAUUGCCAAGAGAAAUAACAUGAAUAAGGCGUGACUGUGAAGCGAGGGAUAUUUUUCUCUUUCAAGAGAGAUCUUAUAAAAGCCCAGUAAGGGGACAUGAUCCAAGUUUGAGUUGGAUAGCCAAUUGCAACUCUAUACAUUCCACUUGAAAAUGUGCAGGUAAUGUUGACUGAAAAUGGAGUCAAAACAUAAAAUGAUCAUUUUCUGGGCAACCUUGAAGCCUAUUCUCACAUUCCUGUAUCAAAACAAAGAGCACAGCUGCGUAUUUGUCACUGUUCACAGGACGGUGUUUAGCCAAUGUACCACACUGCACACAAUUAUCUGCCAUCAAUUUACUUAGCUCCUGUGCUGUUACAGGCAUAGAGCACGCAUUGUUGAAGGGAUGUACUGCAUGCAGAUGCAUUGCUCCGCCGUUCUGCUGGGCUUAUUUACUGUAUAUUUAUUCAAAGGUGUCCCUGCCGGGAGCUGUUCCUGCAUUCUCAUUCACUGUCAGUUACAUUGCCAGAAACAAGGCAGCACCUACAGCAACGUUACUAUUGCAUUACAGCUAUUUCCUUAAGAUGACCUUGGGUCUGAGAUAUUUAUCAGUGGGAAAAUAAAACAAAAACAGAGGAGGAAAAAAAGAGACAUAGUAGCAGUUUGCAACGAUUUGUGAAGGUGGUGUGAUCCAAGCUUGCAAACUGCAGGCAAACACAUCGUGCUUGCUAAGGCAGUAUAAAGGAUCUCUUCCUUAGAGCUCUGCGUCAAGUUAUGCCUCUGCCUAAAUUAAUGCUCCCAAUUAGUCCUGUUUUAUUGUGCAUCCAUCACAGGAGGUUCACUGUUAGGGCUCUGAACAAUACAGAUCCAUAUACCAGUAAUUAUGAAAAAAAUACAUUUAGCAAGAUGCAAAUGUUUCAUAUUUAUCAGCAGCGCCUUGGGCCCUCUAUCAUUUUUUUUCUGACAUAUUUUUAAUUUCCUCAGUCAAAUUAAUAUUUGCUUUUAGUAAAUAAGUGCAUUCAAAAACUCUUUGCACUGAGUUCAAGCUUGACUCCUGGUUGUUUGGGUUUUUUUUUCAGCGUAUCUGUAGAAAGAAGCUCUAGCUAUACCAUGCAUGUGUCGAAGGCAGAGGCUGAGAUUCCAAGCUACGUGGCACAGACAUGUAGAGGAAAAAGGGAAUCCAGACUUAUUCCUUGAAUCUGCAUCAUAUUACCUAACUCACUCAGGGCUGCUUCCAAACUUUCUCUUUUUUAUGUGUAAAAUCUUUGGCGCGUGUUAAAAAUGCAUGUAGAAUAGCUUAGAAAGGACUGAAGGGAUGGUGCAAGGAUUGAAUGUACUUCAGGCACAGACCAAAAUUACGGUUCCAGAAUAAGCCUGUGGUUUUUAAGGGACAAAUAACUGCCACAGUAAUUAUUUAAUGGAGCUAAAACUUUCCAGGUUUGGAGUCGGUCCAGCUGUGAUAUAUUUCCAGAAACAGGAGAAGGAGCAGUGCAAGACUCAGCCCUAAUCUGAAGCAGAAGAAGUGUACAUCAUCUGUGUGCUCACUGGAGCACAGGAGCAGCUGAGCAUAAAGAGCCUUUCUGCACGGAACAGCCGCUCUCUGCAGAGCAUGAUUGAAGGCCGUGUAUGAUGACAGUAGUCCUUGGGAGCUAUUUUUAAAAUGAUCUCCAGAAACAAAAUAAAUGUAUAUGUUUUUUAAAAUGAAACAUUACAAGGAAUUGUUGGAAACCAAAACAAGUGAUGCUAAGCUUUAACUUGAGCAAGGGCUUUCCUCUGGUUUCUUACUGCUCCCUCCCUAAAACCCCUGUGAUCCAAGAGGAUUGUACAUGCAGCACUGAACUGUCCUAACAUCUCUGUCUCAUCAUCUAUCCCAGACCUUGAUGCCUGUGUGGACAGAGACAUGGAUGAAGGAGAAAGGGCGUUGCUGGAAAGCCAUACUUCUGGGUUCUUGGAAUGGCUGCAAGAAAGACGUGCCCAAGGAGAGACUGAGUCACGGUGGAGACAGCUGCUCUGCUUCAUUUCUGCAUGAAAGGGAAAUGUUUUAAAUCUCACUCCCUUGAUGGGUCCAGAACAGUAAUGGCCUGGGCAGGAAGAGGGUAGAUCAAGCUUUGGGCUACACUCAACACACAAGUUUUUCCUACUUGCUGCCAUGCAGCCCAAAUAGCAGCCUGAGAGAAGAACCACCCUGAGAUCCUAGCAGGGAUGACACCAGCAUGCUGCUACAGAAAUUAGUCUUUAAAAUCCUUCAAAUUUUAAUAAAGGUCAGUAUCUUCUUCUACAACAUGCUAAAAUUUGUCCUGUGUGACUCAACGUAGGCUUUUAACUCCACAAUGCACUAGCUUUUCCACUAAAGACUGAAGUCAAGAGUCAAUGGAUCAUUGCUCUCCAGUCACACAGGGAUGAAUGGGUGGAUGGAAGAAGAUCGUUUGCCUUUUCUUGCAGCAUGAUUUGUGGGAUUCGAUCUGACCCAUCCUUUUGGAUUUCUGGCACAGGCAACCCAAAUUUGGCCAUCUCACAUGCAACUGAGAGCAAAAGAUCAGACCCUUAGCUCAAUGAGUCGUUUGGCCCUAUGAAACCCAAAAAGCACAGACAACAUGGAGCCAUCCUGGGGCUGGCUCUGUAGCUGGAAAGUUGCAAGGCCAAGAGCACUUCAUUGUUGGAUGAUAUUUUUACAACUCAAAGUCAGAAGUGCAGAGCAACCCCUUUGGAGCUCCAGCCUAACAACUGCAGCACAGGUCAUUAAUGGGAUCACGUCAGAACGUGCUCUGCCCUACUGUUGAGCUACCAGCCUUGAACAAACACACUGAUUGCAAGGAGAAAGAGGAAAGGGAAGAGAUAGGGGAAGGGAGAAGCUGAAUAAUAUUUUUAGAUGACAGGACAAAAUAACCAAUUGUAAUCUCAAUUUAAAAAAAAGAGUCACCCAUUCAUUGUCAGCAAUGAAUCUGAUCAAACUCAACCUCCACAGAAUAAUUGAUGCUGAUGGGGAUUACGCAAAUGCCGUUCUUAACAAAUGCCUGACGGUGUACAUUUACAUUUCUUUCAGUGAGGUGGAUAUGAUUACGCUGAAGAGUCUUCUUGUCCAAAGAAGAAAUCUCUGGAUUGACAAUCCAUCCCUCCUGCGUACUCACAGGCACAGGCAGGUGACAGCAGCAGUUGUGGGGGAAAAAGGCUGGGCACAUCUGUGUUAUUUUUAUCAACAUACACAUUAUAUGUGAUACUUUGAUACUUCACUUUUGUUAUUAAUAAACAGACUGGAAAAAAAAUGUUGUCUUUCAUAGUUUAGAUCCAAGCCCCUCUUCCAGUAAGCACAUUAAGAUCUUUCAACAGUCAAAAGUUAGAAAAAACUAUUGAUGCUGUCUGCACAAGAAAGACAGUCCCAAGAAUCAGGUGGAGCACGCUGAGAUGGUCUGAAAUGUCCAAGCAUUGCACUCUCCUUUGGGACAGCAGAUAUAAAUCCAGAUUUGCAAGACUACUUGUUAAAACUGUAAAAGACCCCGGGCCAAACUGUCUCAUAGGAUGCAGCAUGAUCCAGACCUACAGCAAAAUCUCAUACUGAGUAAGCACGGUAUACAGCUUAUGAAGACAGAAGACAUUUAAAAGGAUGACUGCUCAUUCAAAGUGAAGCCACAAUCAGAUUUACUUACCUCCAAACGUACCUCACAAUGACUGAGGCUUGGCUCGGUCAAGUGCUCUGACCGGUUAACAAGAAGCAAAAUAAUCUGGAACAGAAUGGAUGAGACUCUAUGUUGAUGCACCAACCUGAGCUAAACCCUGCUGCUGGCUGAGCAGAACACUGCUGCAAGGGAUGGCAGAGAAAAGCUUUCCUAAGCUCACCUGAUACAGCACACGACAAUCCCAAAAUGGGCAGGGACUGGAAAAAUCCACUCUCUGUAAAUAUGCUACAGAUAGAAGAAGUUUUAGCAUGUCUAUUCCUUUUAACCAUUUGCAGCUUAUCAUCCCAGGAUACAGGGGCAAUUUACCAAAGGGCUCCAUUGGUGAAACUUUGUGGCAUUUCAUUUGAGGCCUCAGCUUGACAGAAACAAUGUUUCCCUAAUGAAAACCCCAUACCAAAGGCUGGCUCAAACCCACGCAAUGGAUGUAUGUGACUGAUCUCACAACAUUUCUAUUUAAUCAAAUACAAUCCAUGCAUGUGUUCUGCAUUUCUAAAGAAAGGCAGACUUUCCCAGGUACAUCUUUCUCCAUGUCACUAACAUGUAAUAUCAAAGCCCCAAACUGACACUUAAAUGACAGCAUUACGUCUUCAGUUACUGCUGACUGGAAUGGGGAGGACCAUUAUAGAGAUCUCUGCAGAUAGCAGGUGGAAAGCACUGCUGUGGGGAAGGAAAGGAAGAAGGAAGGACAGAGGAGAUGUUCUAGGACAGGGGGGAGGGAGAAAGAUGGAGAUAGGAAUAGGCAGGGAAAUAGAGAAAAAUGAAAUGGUAGAGCGUGUGUAUUUUCUAACAGUAAUAUUGGAUAUGAGAAAUAAAUGGAUAUGGGGAAUAAAGAACAUUAUCUGCAAUUGUUGUAUUUCUGAUCAUCGUGCUAGCCUCCCACUGAUAUGGCUGAGAUACCUCCUCUGAGCUGAGUGCACAUUAUUUGUACUUCAACUCACAGAUUGGCAUCAGAGCACGAGUUGGGCCUUUCAGGCAGAAUAAAUCCAACAUUCUUCCUUUCGAUCUGUUUAGCAUUUGAGGGAAAAAAAACUUUUUCAUAAAUAUGUACAGGAUGUGCCAAGAUGAAUCUGCCAUCAGAAUGGCAUUUUGGUGGGACUGCACUGCUGCAAUUGAAAGCAGAAUUUGGCCUUCAACUCUAAUUGCUCCCAACUCUAGAAGUACUGAAUUGAUUUUAUUCAGACAUGAACUGUUUUCUCCUUCAUCACCGAGGUCUAUAAAACAAGGCGAGUUCAAAUUUCCUAGCGUCAGCUCUUCUUGAGUUAUGAGGGCAGAGAAGCUGCAACCGGAACAAAUAGGAGUAGCUGGUUUCUCUUCACGCCCACAUAUCAUAAAAACAGCCAAGCUGAUUUUGCUGAGAGUUCUCAAAAAUAUUCACCUAUAGGCUGGAGUCAAGCCUGAGAAGUACCUUGCCCCACCUGAGGAAUGUGCUUUGGGAAAUCUGGUGCAGCUGAAAAAUGGAGGGGAGCCUGGAGACAGAAACUGAGCUGAAGCUGUAAUUGUGGUUUACUUUCACAGGGCUAAUAAACAAUUCUCAAUUCUUGGCCAUAAAUCAGCUUUGCAAGGAUGCAACUUGUUCCUGAGUGGGCCUGUGGCUUUCUCCUUUCCUAGAAGAGACAGUUUUGCUCUGAGAUCAGAUAAUCAUAGGCUGUUUGGGGUGAUUUAAAUCUGUUUCAUAUGUCUGGCAGACACAACUCUGCCGUGAUGACCACUGGGAACAUCUGCAUGGCUUUACCCAGCUCCUCACUCCCCACCAGCUUCAGCAGAGCUCUCUUUCAGGUUCAGCCUCGCAGCCAGAACCACACGAGCUGCUGCAAAGCCUGUGCUGUGGUUUUAUCAUCACCCAACACAAUGAUGGCUUUUACAUCAAGACACGUCUUGAUCCUAUCACUCCUUCAGGCACUGCAGGGACACUGCAGUUGUUGUGACUUGCUAACCCAUUCAUUUUUCAAGAAACAUUUGAGCCCACGCUCAUCUUCUGCAACUUUGGAAAGAGCAAAAUAGAUUUAUUAAAAUUUGAGCCUGUGGAAGCAAAAGCCCAGGUCUGUCUGCUCAUAAUGGAGGAUGCUGCUUCAAAUAGGAAUUUAAGCUUGGUGCCUAAAAACUGACCUCCUUUGUUGCACAUGAUGCACAGAAUAGCAGCAAAGGACAUUUUGGUUCUAGAUGUUCUUGUUUGGCUCAAAAAUAUUCGCACUUAAAAAUGUUCUGAGCAUCACGGCACGCACAUCCUUAGCCAAAGGCACUGAUUACAAAACACCAUGUAUGCUACCCUGCUUCAUGUGUCACUCCCAGGACAGGGAGUCUCCAGCAGAGCGUGCAGCCACUGAAGAUAUCACAUGGGGCCACCAUGUGAAAACAUGUCAUUACUCAGUUGUCAUGCUGUCAAACGCUGCAAGCACUCACUGCUCUAGUGAGCCAUGAAUGACUCGGUUUGAUCCCGAUCAAGCUCUUCUGGCAGACACAGGAAUACCGAGGCAGAAGUGCCCAUACCAAAGGAUGCCGAGUUUUGGGGGCAAUCAAGGGCAAGUACUGUGGGCAGAAGACAGCAUUUCCUCAAGGACCCAGGGCAGAAAGGUGUCCUUUAGCAUUUAAAGCCAUGCAGGAACACAAUACUUAUGAUGGAAAGUGACUAUAAUUCACACGUGCCCUCAGAGGAAAACGUGGCAGCAUCAUGAACAGGAGCAGAGAGCUCUGUCAUAAGGAGAGCUGGGAUGCAACGUGAUUAUCAUGUUAACCGCUUCACUGCCCUUUGGAUGCUUGGCUCACAUUCAGCAAAGUGACAUCAAUACGGUGCUCAAGGCAAGUGCUGCUAGGCAUCACAUUCAACUAAAAUGUCAAGAGGAGCCCUGGAGGCUGUGGGGACCCUUGCGGGAUGUGAGGCUGGUCAGCAAAGUGCUGCAGAAACUACUGGGAGAGCUGAGAAUUGCCUGGGAGGAGCACUGUGCCAGCCAGGUGCACACUCGCUCAGUGACACAUGCAGCACAUUGCAUGGGGAUAACAUUGUGUGAUCUAAAAGAGGGGAGAUUGACAUUGGAUAUAAAGAAGGUUGCCCAGAGACAUCCAAGGUCAGGCUGGAUGGGGCUAUGAGCACCUGAUAUAGCUGUAAGUAUCCCUGUUCAUUGCAGGGGAGUGGGACUAGGUGACCUUUUAAGGGUCCCUUCCAACUCAAGUGAUUCUACAAUUCUAUGAUUCUGGGAUGAUUUCUGGGAGGCAACCAAACUAAGGAUACAUUAACAACUCUAUACAGCAAACAUUAGGUAAAGCCAAAAUAUUAAAUGCACUUUUGGCCUUGCCUUACUAUUAGCCUUUUAGAGUAGACUAGAUAUUUAGAUAUAGACUAGAUAUUAGAAAUAAAUUCUUUACUGUGAGGGUUGUGAGACGCUGGAGCAGAUUGCCCAGUGAGGCUGUGAAAUCCUCCUGUGCAGAGGCAUUCAAACCCAAGCUGAAUGGGACUUUGAGCAACCUGGUCUAGUAGGAGGUCUAGUGGGUAUAGAGGCUUAUAGCAGGGGAGUUGGAACUAGAUGAUCUUAAAGGUCCCUUCCAACCCAAACCGUUUUAUGAUUCUAUGAUUCCCUUCUUGUGUCUUCAGCUUGGUAAAUGAAUUUUGAUUUGUACCUUGAAGGCCAGUUCAAACACUGAUGAAACUGUGCCUUCUGUCUGCUAGCAACCAAGAGGCAUGGAUGGAACCCCCUAUUCCAGUACUACCUGUGAGUUGUACCCAUAUCCCAUAUCCCAUGUUGGACCUCAGCUACAGCAGGGCCAGGGCUUUGCUGGAAAUGGCUUCUUCAGGCCUGACUGCAGUAGAGCCAUAGCCAGAAUCUUGCCCCUUUAGCAAAUAAAGGUUCAUUUCCUACACAGUCUAUCUUUUGUCUACUCCUUAAUCCAUCAGUGAAGUUACAAAGUCCAAUUUCCAUGGCAACAGACUGUGAGGUCAGGGAGAAAGUAUUAUGCAGGAUUGAGGAUCUGAAGUGGAUGUAAGGAAGGAAAGGAUAAAAUUACUUUAAAAAUUAACAGUCAUAGCAAAGUGAAUAAUGAGGGGGGGAAAAAAGACAGGUUAGAUAAUCUGCACCUGGUGGGAAGAUUCCUGGCAUUUUUCAAGACAGCUGGUGCCAGCAAAACAGACCUUUGCAGAAUCCCAGUUUGAGUUUUCGCUCCCUUUGAAGUCAACCACAACUCCAAUGGGGAGAAGAUGUGAGUAUCAAGUACUGCAGAGGAAUUCCCAACAAUCAGGAACAUUUCUCAGCACCUGCUUUGCUGAGCAGGGAUGCAACAUGCAAUGUUGGCCCCAGCCUUCAGUGAAAGAAACCCAUCACCUCCAAUCACAGAUUGCAGCACAGGGAGAUUUCAGACAUUUUUAUUUCCAGAGAAUGUGUCAAUGUUUUUCCCUUAAAUAUCUGCUCACAACAAUUGGGACCGCAGCCUGCAGCUGUAUCUAAUUAGCAAUUAGUUGUUCACACCUAGCACAGCCCUAAAGCUGGCACCCACAUGGGUACUGCCAGGAGUCCUGCACAACAACUGAGGAGAGAGGUAGGAAUAGGCCUUUUCCUUGACAACAUUCCCAUUCAUUUGCUGAAGCCUGGGGCUGGACAAAUUGUCACACAAUUUCUUAUUUUUCUGCAAGAAAGCUGGUAGUUCUCUCACAUUUUAAUAGGGUCUCCUGCUGUGCUGGGGACACAAAGCAGGAGCAGCUCCAUGUGAUGCCCUCACCGUGCCAUCACAUCUGUCAUGCUGCAGCAUCUCCAAGGGGCUGCAGCCCCUGCACACCAUGACACCUACUGCAUUUCCACCUUUGUUACCACCUUCCCCUUCUAGGAGAUGAUCCAGUACCUACAGUUCUCUGGAGACAUGUAAUUAAGCGUGUCGCCCCUCACCAGAUGAAACCUGCCAAUUCAUUAUGCUAAGGGCUUGCUGCUUGUACCCCAGGAUGUGUAUUUCCCCCCAGUAAGUCUGCCUUCCUCCUUCCUGCUGGCUCAGCAGAUGCUGCACAUCAGAGACUGAAGCUUGGGGGUCUCUGCUUGCCCCCCAGAGGAGCUUUCUCUGUUGCUCAGGCAAAAAGGGAAGGCAGGUAGUGUCAGUCCUGAAAGCACGCUGGUGCUGCGAGGCGAGGGGGGAGCAGACACAAGGAAAAACCUCCAUCUAGGAUUUAUAAUUGUGACUCAAAGUAUUGUUUUUUCCACUGCUUGAUCUGAGAGCAUAUUUGAGUUGAUCUGAAUAUCAAAGACAUUCAGAAAGGCGGGGAAAUAAAACAGCAGGGGAAGAGGCACCAAGAUGGUAGUGCAGAUAGCCCGGGUUAAGGAUGAAUAGAGGGGACAUGCCUGGCCAGGAGGUACAGCUGCUUAGAGAUGGUUAUUUUUUCCUGCUUCAUUUUCUCUAGUAAACAUCUUAUGGUCUAUUCAUAGGCUACACGUACUGUUUUCGAUGACAGUGUUUCCUGAUGUGGGGUGACACUGCAGCUAUAUGAUACAGCUUUGCCCUGAAGUACUAUGCAGUAAUAUCUGCUGUAAGGUAGUUCCUCCAAAUUGAACAAACUCCAAACAGAACAAAUCCAGAGCUUGACUUGGCUCCCAUGGAUGCACGCUUACCACACCGAGCCAGAUAAAAGGACAGACAAAACCUGUGGGAUGAAAUGACACUCUACAAGCCUGAAAAGAGGAAUGUAUGUGCAUGGUGGGACACAGCAGAGCUGCUGUGGUGUUUCUCAUCCACAGUGCAUGGCUGUAGGAAGGUGAAUGUGCUCAGGUCCAUAAUAGACAGGAGACAGUAUGUUCAUAGCUGCCCUGUAGGAGGAACAUACAGAAGUGCUAAUCGUGCCAUUUGGCCUGACAGACCAGAUCAUCACUUCUUUUAUUGGUAUUUCCCUCUUCCAGCAAAAUACUCCUCCUCUACAAUGCCAGAAGAGCCUGGGAGGUAUUAGGAGAGAGAAUGCCAACUCCAGCAUGUUCCCCAUCGCUCUGGCUCUACAUAAAUCCUUCACUGGGUCACAUACAUGAAUAAAAACCACAGCCUGCUUUUAUUAUCCAAGGUCCAUCAGUAACAGAUGACAGUGUUGUCACCAACAGGAUGGCUGGAUUGCCAAUGGCUUAAAGGGAAAUGCAGCUAUAAAAUCUUAUUCAUAUAUAUUGUAUCUGUGUGUAUAAAUAUCUAUGUGCACCCUGAUGUGUAUGUGCAUACAGAUAUGUAUGCGUAUAUAAACAGAAACCUACAAUUACUAUUUUCACACUCACAGGUUCUUAGAAUGCUCCUACGAUGUCAUUAGCAUUAUUAUUUUAUUAAUUCUGUUUUCCUGCUGUCUUGAAUUUAAACAUAGCACAUACGGUACUGAAAUGUACCAUAAUCAGUCUUCCUUUAAUUCUGAGCUACGAUUCCUCGCACUUUUCCCCAUAUGUUGUUUUGUGGGUUAGCUCUGGUGUGACUUCCUUCCCUUCCUUAUUGGUAUCGAAAUAUUCUUGCUUCUGAUUCCUUCAUUGCUCCUAUUGAUUUCACACAUUUCCUUCACAUGAUCACGGGUACUGUUUUCACAAUUUGCACAUUUUCACCCAUCUAUAAAUUGGCUCUCAAACAAGUCAGUCAAAAUCACAUUUUGAUUUAAAAAAAGACAUUAACAAAGUCUUUUUUUUCCCUUCUAUCCAGCUUUCAGAUCAGUUUUGCAAUGACUUAACAAAAUCUUGACUUGUUUACCUGUAGUUUCCAGGUUGGAUUAUAGUUGCAUUUGGGGUUCUCUUUUUAGGAUCUACUCCAAGCUUGGCAGCUCCUUAAAAGUUGUGUGCUCUUCUCACAACUUGUCAUCUUCCAUCUUUAUUCUGGCAUUGCAGUUGGCUACCUUUGGAGUCUUAAAAUUAGCAUGUUAUUAUUGUUUCUGAAGACCCUUUAGACUUUGACUCCUACCUAUUGGAGAAAUUUUGAUUUCUGUUUAUGUACUUGCUCAUAAUUUGGGUUCUGUUUCCAAUCUGUCACUUGCUAAACCAUCUGUGCCAUCUGGAAUGUGCCUGGCCCCAAUUUGGGGGGAUUCUCUUCCUUAUGAAAUUCAUGAGAUUCAGCCUGCAGAUGCUUUCACUGCUUCUCUGACAAAUUUAGUUAAUUUGGCAGCUUUGAGGUUUGCAUUUUUCUCAGUUUGUAGGGCUGUAUUUGUUACUAUGCUAUAGGUGCUGGGGGUCUAUGGAACACAUAUACACUAGAAACCGUCAAGUAUCAACAGCUUUGACAUAAAAGUUAACACUAAGAUUUGGCUAGUCAAGAUCCUUAUGAGCCAUUUUUUCUCUUGUGUGCCAUAAAAUCAAGGGAACUUGAGAGUGCAGGUAUAACAUAAAUGAAAUUCACAGCUGAACAGAAGGUCAUCAUCAAGUUUACGUUUCAUAUCAAGUAGCACUGCUGACACAGCAUCCUGGAAGAGCUGGAAUUGCCAAUACUCUGCCUCAAAUAUUCCAGAGAGUUGAAAUCAUAACUUACCUAUCAGCAAACCCUGAAAGGUUUUAUAGAUGAAGAACCGUUGCUGCUGAGUAACAAAAAUAUACUGGAGAUCUAGGGAUUUGACUUUGAUGCUUUUCAACCAACUUGGUGAAUGCAGCAGGUUGAUGAAGGCUAAUGAAUCUGGCCAGGCUUUUGGUGGAUUACCUGAAUGACUCCAUGUUAAUCAAAAUAUAUUGGACCAACUAUGGGUAAAAUGGAAGUAAACAGAGCAUUUGUGCUUCUAAAUCUGGCGUUAGAGAGGUUACUCACUUAUCAACAUCUAGGCUGAAAGAUCUUACAGCAACUUAUUCUUUUUUUUUUCUAUUAUUUGAUGUCUCAACUCUUUUCUGGUCACAUUCAGCUCCUAUAAAUGAAUGCAUUGGUGUACAAUGAUAGAAAACUUGGUCCAAAGAGUACAGUGGUAACGUAAGACAAAUAUCUUUCUAUUAGAUUUCACUGAAAGCAAAAGGAAUUUUUCCAUUCAAUUUCCCCCACUCUCCCAGACAGAAAUUAUCGAAUGUGAACAUGUGAAGUUAAGUAUGUGAACAUAUAUUCUAGCACCUUACAGAAGUCAGCCCACUGUCAGAAAGGUAAUCCCAUCCAGUUGAAGGGAUUUGAAGAAAAUGAAGAAACCCAGGUAAUGAAAAAACUGAAACCAAAAGGCACAUAAAAGGCACAGAAUCACAGAAUCCUUAAGAGUUGGAAGGGACCUUUAAGGGUCAUCUAGUCCAACUCCCCUGCAAUUAACAGAGACAGAGCAAACACAGAAGGGGAAAAUAAACAGGCAUGGAUGGCUGUGUUUUCUUCUCCUGCACAGGGAGUCUUGGAGCUGUAUUUUGCAUUAUUAACAGCAAGCUAACUGCCACAGCUUGAAGCUCCCACUGAGGUGGGUGAACCUGACACCAAUCCGUAGAUGUAUGCUGUAUUUAUAUAUCACUGCCACCCCUUCAGAUGUCUUAGCUGUUCUGGUGAUUACAGUUGUGUUCAGUAAUACUAAAACGCACAAAGAAGCCAUCUGAAGUUAAAAGGUUCUAUCUGAAUUUAUAUUUGUUGAUUUCAUUAAUGCUAAAGUCUCCUUUGGAAGAUGCAAAGUUCUGUGGCUUGAGUUGAUGCCAACGGGAAACAUCCCAGCAGGAAGACUGAUGUGUGCUUCAUCAGGAUGCUGGAAGGAGUCUGUCUGCUGGCCAAAAUCUCUCUCCUACUGUUUAUAAAACACUAUCUCACUCAGCUAGCCCCCUUUUUACAGUUCAUUACUGCACAGUCUUUUAAAAGAGUUGGCUGCUAUUCAACCUCAUGGAUUCAGAGUUGCAGAAAAGCACCUUUCAGGGCAUCUACGCGUCCCUCCAACCUCCUGGCUACUCAAAGAACUAGGUAAUAUUUCACUAGGUCUUGUGCUUAGACAUGCCCUGUUCUUUUCUCCCCCGAUAAUCCCAAGUGAAAAGAAAAUCCAUCGAUCCUGUGUACCACAAGUAAUUAGAACUGGGGCUGCAUAUCAUUCCGGUGAGUAGCAUGGGUCAGGAUUUUAAACAUGAAAUGAUUUUCAGUGGAUUCAGCACUCUGUCUCAGCACAAUGCAGCCUAUAAAUUGAAAAUGCCUUUAAAAGAUGGAGUUCUUAUUCUUCAUUGUCUUCAAUUAAUGCUACUAUAAUUUAGAAACCAAGCCGAUAUUUUUUGUUUGUUGGAAGCCAGAAUUACACCGAGAGAUAUCACCAUUGUAUGUGCAAUUACUUUUAAUUCUCCUAACAAUUUUUACGAUUCCUUUCAAAUAAUUUGUCCCUCUUGUGUAUUCAUAUUUUCACUUUUCAUUGCAGGCAUUUAAUUUUUAUUACCACAAGAAAGCAUUCUGAAACCCUUUUAUGAUGAGUUUGUUUAAUUUAUCUAGUCAUUAGCCUGUGAUGAAAGUGAUGCCUCCAACAAAUCAGUCAAAAACCUUGUACUGGCAAUAUAUACAGAUCUGUUGUGAGGGGUUAAUCUUUUAUUAGAUUACAGUUACUCUAAAAGCUGGUAUUCAGUAGUUUAAUAGCUUUUCUUAAUUCUAAUCUUCUGCACUCUAAGAAAUAGCUAGAAGUAGAAGGUCUUUGAGCUUUAAUGCAGUUGCAUGGUUUCCUUUGGUAAUUAUUUACAUUUUUAUAAAUUAAAAAUUCUUUUUUUUUUUUUUUUCCCUUUCCAGACAACUUCAUCAACAUUUGAAUAAAACAUUUAGGAGCAAUUGAGAGAUCCAAACUAUUUCUUGUCCUUGCAAGAUGGAACUGUAAAUCUCCUUUCAGAGCAUGUACUUCUCUUGGCAAUGAGCAAUGGUUUGGGGCUUGGAGGUCUCUGGUUGGGACCAAGAUUGGCCAAACCAAAAUCGUUUGCUGGGGUCUGUUAGGAGUGUGCUUAAAGCUUUUGUGGCUUUGGUACAGUUGUUGCCAUAGUAAACGUUUUUGCUCACUGACAUGAUUACAAAUUUUGAUUAACAGUUUCAUGUACAGCAGGAGGAACCUGAAAUGAAACCAGCUUUGUAACUGUGGGAACCACACUAAAGAAAACCAAGGAAAACAGAUGAUAUUUUCACGUAAUUGGAAUAUGCUAAGGAGUGAAGAAAUUGCUGAUUCCUGAGGAAUUUGCCAAUUUUCUUUUCAAGCCUCUUUCUAAUGCACUUACAAACGCAUAAAUUGUUCUAAUGCUCUUUCGGUCAUAAAAAGCGAAUCUGUAGGGGAAGAACUGUUUUUUCUUGUCAAGUUGGGCACCCUGCCUCGUUACAGAAAUGAAGACAGCCUGCUUCCUUCUCACCAUGCCACCGUGAUCAAAGGAGCAGGAUGCGAAAAAUUUCCUCACUGGAACAUGCUGUUAUUCAAAGCCCUUUGUAGGCACCUCACAGCAAAACACAAGUGUCUGGUACAAGAUAAAAAAAGGCGUGCAUGUACUUAUUUAUUCAGGAUGGCAUUUUGCAUUCCAAAAAGAAACAUACGUAUGUAUCUGCACAUGUGUGUCUGUGUAUGCGGUCUCUAAAACUCAAUCUGUGGGGCCUUCUCCUUCCCCCGGGGCCAAAGCUGAGCCCUGAUGAGGACCUGUGCUGGCUGUGCUGGCUGCUGGCAGGGCUCUGCCAUCCCUCCUGUCACCAGGCAACGCUAUCAGCCAUGCUGCACGUGUGCGCUGGACAUUCAUCACCACUUUGUAUUUCCAGUUCUGCAUUUUACUUUAGAAAUGGAAGGUGUUCUUGAGUGAACAAGGUUGGUUCACAAGGUGGAUGUCAGUGUGCAUACCCAGCCUGCACACUCCAGCCCUGCUCCAGCCUCACUGGAUACGCAUCAGCCAUUGGUUGCAGUGCAAUUAAACUCUGAAUUCCCCAGAUGUGUGGGGGGAAGUGUGCAAUGUCACCUGAACUGGGGACUUCACUAUAUGAAUACGCUGCCAUCCAGUAAGCUGCAGUGAGACCCUAGCUGGUUUCGACGUCAGGAUUUGGAUGUGUGAAGAGGCAGGGUUGUUAUAAGAUAACUCGGUGCAUGACACGGCCAGCACGUGGUGAUCCAUCUGCAGGGAUGGACACGUCGGAACAGAUUUGAAAAUGUUCCAGGAGGCACAAGACAUGACUUCAGAAAGGGAGAAUUAUCUAUCAUUACCCUGCCUAUGGCUUCACUUUAUUACACAAUACUUCCAGUCUCCUACAAGAAUCUCCAAGAAAGAAUGCAGGGUAUAUGGCUCUUCUAAUCCUCAUAAAUCUGGAAUUAACCCAAUUACAGAGAAGGGCCAUCAUUAAAAAGGAGUGACUGUGCAACCACCUUUUCAACGUCACUGUCACUACACUGACAAUUUAAUUAAAACUGCAGUGCAUUUAGUUAUAUUAGUUCCUAUCAAUACAAAAGAUACAGAUAUUUUUUUUAUUUAAAUCUCACAAUGUACUUCAGCACUGCUACGCAGAGAUUACACCAGCAGAUUUUAUCAUUCCUGACGAUACAUGACUAUCUCAAAAUAAAAUCCUCAUCUUCACACGAGAUUUUCGUGCCAGAAUGUAAAUGGAAAUGACUAGGAACAAUCACCUUAACCACAGAAACAUGACUCUGAGCGUAUGAAGAUCGUGUUCUUUAUAUCAUACUCAACACUUCUGUCUUGUACACCUCUGGCUGGUGAAGGGAAAGAAAAGAGAGAAGAAAAAAAGGAAGAAGGAAAGGAAAGAGGAAAAAGAAAACAGAAUGUGAGGGAAUUACAAGGUAAGCAAGUGAGAGAUUGAUUUUAAAUUGAUUGUACUUUUUUUUUUCUGGUCAGCAGAACUCCACUGUGAUUCUGGUCUCGCACACUCAGGUGUAAAGCUGCAGCAGCUACCUUGAUUCCUGUGGAGGUAGGAGGUACAAAUGCACAUCCAGUGAAAGCUGGUAGAGCUCUCCUUCAAGACUGAAAGUUCUCCUAAGUUUUUCAGUGAUUCCUGACAUCUUCUGUGGCUUUCUUCAAACAUAGGAGAAGUGCAGAAAAAAAUCGUCUCUGAAGUCAAGGAGAUAGAAGCACACUGAAGGGGCAAAGGUUGUCUUUGACCUCCAGCUCUUUUCUGAUGUACUAGUCUCUCUGAAAUGUGAAAUUCAGAUUUGACCUCUGUCUAUUUUCCUGCCAAGCACCUGACUUGCAGUCCUUAUCAGACAGAAGGAAACAGCAGAGUAAGACAUUGAGUAGUUUGCAUGAAAUCAGUAUAAAGAAACAGAUAAUGCUUCAAGUGUCAGCAGGUUGUGUUUGCUGAAGCAAAACCCAGUUCUCCUGAACUGCCAUCAUGGCACCUAGAAAAGAACACAUGCAACUAAAAGCUGAACAAUGCACAAAAAGCCAGUGUUGGCUGAGAGGAGGAUCUGGGGCAGAAAGCUGACUAGAAGGUUAAGCUGUUAUCUGCCAGUGUAACCAGUGCCUCGUGCUCUAAAUGAUUAUUGCUGUGCACGUAGAGCAUGGCUGGAGGGUCCUGGCCACUGCCACAAGCUGAUGGAUGCUGCUGCCUCAGACUACUAUGAGUUGGACUUGAUGAUCCUUGUGGUCACCUUCCAACUCAGAAUAUUCUGAUUCUAUACUAGUGCUGCCUUUACUGCCAAAGGCAAUGUGAAGAUAAGGUGGAUCUGGCACCACCAGAACAAUGGCAUCCAAAAUGCCCACCUGUAGACUCAUGCCUGUAUCUUGCCAGACACCUUAACUGGUGAAGAACAAGAGGUGAAGUUUGCUGAACAGGAAGCAUCAUAGGAAAGGGGAGGGUUAGCUGUGAAGAUAAUCACCUGGGAGAUGAGUGCUGAGUUUUGCUUUAUUUGUACAUGAAAUUCUCAUCAAAAUGAGUCUUUUUCUGCAGGCUACCAAUAAGCAUAACUAGCAGCCAAUGAGACAAGAGCAUCUUUGAAGAUUCAGAUGCAGUGCUCCCCUUGGGAUGACUUGCUAUUCCAGAUUAAAAGCCCUUUGUGAAUCCAGGCAGGGACACUUCAAGCAGCCAAAAUACUAGAUGAGUAUGUUCACCUCGUGAUGCAAGAAUAUCAAAGUUGCUUAGCUUCUAGAGCCAGAUGAACAGCACAGGCAGAAUAAUUUGAUUCAUGCACCCUCUCAGCGCAUCAUUCCUUCCUUCAUCACCUGGAUUUUCAUUUAAAUGCUGUCUGAUUUACUCAACUGCACACAUCAUCUGCAAGGUCACCCAUUUGUCUCACAUUUGCAACUGAAUGUCCCUUUCUGACCUUCCUCUCCCCAGUUCUCUCUCUGCUCCCCAGGUAAACAAGUGGAGCCCGAAUCUGGUGGUGUUGGAUGCAAUUUGAUCUCAGCAGGAUAUCUCACUGUGCUCGGUCACACUGACCUGUUGCAGAUUGGUGUUUAUUACAUUCAUUCACACUUAGGAAAGUAAGUAAACAAAGAAACUAUUCCCCCCAGAAUGUAACUCAACAUCCCAAAACAAUUAUGAACUAAUUAUAAACUGAUUCUGCAUGUAGGACAAUUGAAUGUUUAGUGGAAGGACAAUUACCACCCUGGAAAUCACCACUCUGCAUUUCUUAUUAGCACCAGAAGCAAGAUAUCAGGCAUGGUGAAGACAUGCUGCUCUGCCAAAGACUGAGAAACACACUUGGCUGCAGAAAGCUUGUGCAAGGCUGAACCUCUCAAGAGCAGAGCUGGCAGCAGGGCUCCUACACAGCGUUGCUGCAAUGGCGCUGGGAUUGGAUCUGUUUCAUGAAAAUGGGAUGAUCUUAAUACAAAGUUAUGCUGUGAUGACUGCAGUCGGUGACAGAAAGCCAGAUAAACCUCAAGAUGCUCUGGCUUUGGAAAGAGCAUUGAUGAAACCUUCUGUCUGCAGGAAGAUGGUUGGCUGCCCAGUGUGGAUGGAGUGUGCUGAUGAGUAGGAGUUGCAAGAGACUGCAGAGCAGCCAGCGUAAGCCAGCACUAACAGGAGCUCCAUCUGCAAUGGCUUAAUCCUGAAUGCCCAAUCAGAAGUGCUCCUAGUCAGAAUUUGGUAAAUAUUUGCUAAAAGAUAAAUGAGACCAGUUUUUAACUGUCUCUGCAUUACUCUUUUUUCCUUUCCAAUUUUGAAAAGGAGAGAAAGCAGCUAAGUUUUAGGUAUCAUGGAAUAUAAAAAAAAAUAAUAAUCUACUUGUGUUUUUUUUUUCUGAAGAGAAAUGUCCCUCAGGUUUCUCUCUUGCUUCAAAACCUCAAGAAACUUUCAUGUUUUCAGUUUUAAACAGGUUAGUACAAAAUAAUACUGACAAAAUCAAAAUUUUCAAUGAAAAAUGUGUUAAAAAAACCCCACCAUUAUGAAAAAUAUUAUCUGAAAAAUAGAUCCUUGCUCAAAAAGAACAGAUUCUGCCUGGACUUUCCAUCAUCCCAUGCCUGGAGAGAACAAGAAAUACUGCUUGAGUUUCUGGCCAUGUAGAAUAACCAGCUCUCCAAGAGUACUUAUGUGAGUAUUUAGAGCUUCAUUCAGACAUAGUUGCACAUAGUAGAUGUGGUGAGUCACCCUGCUGUUCUACUCCAGAAGGAAGACCAGGGAACACUCAGGAAGGUGGCACAGCUGCAGGCAUUCAGAGCUGGUCAGAGCUCUCCUUGGCAGCACGACCGCACCUCUGAGCUAAAUAGGUCUGCUUUUGCUUCGUCUCCUCCAAAGUUCAUUAGCAUUGCCCAGCCUUAGGAAGCAACAUUCUUCCCUCUCUUUCACUGCAAGAAAUCCCAAAUCAGUGUCCAGAAUAGCUCCUGGGGUCUCCAGUGAGGUUAAAUCAUGACAUACAGAUCACUGGUCACUAUCACAACUGAACCCAGUAAUGGCAAUGAGCAUAAAGUAAGUCACCCUAUAUUAGCAUUUUCUCUAGCUCAAUGUAAGCUCCUCAGCCAUCAUCCCUUCUCCCAAUACUAAUGCCCCUGCUUAUGUUUUUGCCUUUUUCCCAGUAUCUCCUCACUACACUCUGGUGGGUUUGGUAAUCACGUAAGUCACAGGGCGGCUCUACUUCAUGUUAACCAAGAGUCUUGGCAGUACAAGCUUUUUCGUGUAAAGCAUUUUUUCUCCUUCCUGCUCUAAUUCCUCAGGGCUGUGGAGGAGUGGUGUUCAGCGUGCUUGGUUAAUUUUUAUUAAUGUGAUCUCUCCCUUUCCCUGUACUGGUUACAUGUGGGCGUGAAGUUGAUCAGCGAAGGGAAAAGUAAAGUUACACAUCAUUUGUCUUCUCUUACAUUUCCAUUGAUCAAUCCAUACAACGUUAUCCGUUUUCCAUUAAUUUUCUAUUUGUAGCACACCUUAUUUCUAGAGCCACAGUUAGCAAAUUGAUUUGCUGCUCUUAAGCAGCAGUUUCCAUUUGCAGCCUGAGAAGCGGGAUUAACACAGCGCACUCGCCGUUUUGUCUCUGUCAGUGAUACCUCACACAAAACAAUUUUUCUGUUCAGUAUGUUUGCUGAUUGAGUUUUCCUCCUGGAACGACAAGCGCCAUGAGCACGCAGCCUACUCCUUGGGCUCGAGGCCAGGUCUCCAGUGUGGGCACAGAUUACAGCUUUUUGCAGCAGCAUUGAUAGGGUGCGUAAAAAUCUGAGGAAACCAAAACAUCUCCAUUCCAAUUCACACAGUGGUGGGUACACUGUCUUCACUGCUGUCACCCCCACUCCUCUACCAGGUUUUAAACAAAACUUGCUCAGAGACUUGGGUAUCUGAAGUGUGUUUCAAUGUAUUAGAAGAUAAUCUGUUAAUUCAUCAGAUUGUUUGGGCAUAAUGCACACAAAUGAUAGUCAGCAUAAGAAACGUUGCUGUUUUUCUAUUAAU